rnacentral:sRNA from 1 species
AUCCAGCCCUGAUAGCAGCGACAUCCUGUUGUUGCGGGGUUCGCAGCAAUAGAUAUAGCGAAUAGCAGGAGUAUAG